GGGCUCCAGGCAGGGCUCCUCGGCGUCCCUCCGGGCCCCGACGGAGGUGCCGGAGAUCUUCCGGCUACAAACCCGGGCAGGUGGAGCUCGUUAGCCGUGGUAGGCAAUCUGCCUAGGAGAGCAAACUCUAUACAAACCCGGGCAGGUGAGGCUCGUUAGCCGUGGUAGGCAAUUCACCUAGGAGAGCAAACUCUAAACAAACCCGGGCAGGUGAGGCCCGUUAGCCGUGGAAGGCAAUUCACCUAGGAGAGCAAACUCUAAACAAACCCGGGCAGGUGGAGCUCGUUAGCCGUGGUAGGCAAUUCACCUAGGAGAGCAAACUCUAAACAAACCCGGGCAGGUGGAGCUCGUUAGCCGUGGUAGGCAAUUCACCUAGGAGAGCAAACUCUAUACAAACCCGGGCAGGUGGAGGUCGUUAGCCGUGGUAGGCAAUUCACCUAGGAGAGCAAACUCUAUACAAACCCGGGCAGGUGGAGGUCGUUAGCCGUGGUAGGCAAUUCACCUAGGAGAGCAAACUCUAUACAAACCCGGGCAGGUGGAGGUCGUUAGCCGUGGGAGGCAAUUCACCUAGGAGAGCAAACUCCGAACAAUAAACCCGGGCAGGUGGAGGUCGUCAGCCGUGGUAGGCAAUUCACCUAGGAGAGCAAACUCCGAACAAUAAACCCGGGCAGGUGGAGCUCGUCAGCCGUGGUAGGCAAUCUGCCUAGGAGAGCAAACUCCGAACAAUAAACCCGGGCAGGUGGAGCUCGUCAGCCGUGGUAGGCAAUCUGCCUAGGAGAGCAAACUCCGAACAAUAAACC